AAUUGUACCCAAUACAACGUUU
rnacentral:miRNA from 1 species